rnacentral:rRNA from 1 species
UGGGGAAUAUUGGACAAUGGGCGCAAGCCUGAUCCAGCAAUGCCGCGUGUGUGAAGAAGGCCUUCGGGUUGUAAAGCACUUUUAUCAGGAGCGAAACGCUGUCGGCUAAUACCCGGCGGAACUGACGGUACCUGAGGAAUAAGCACCGGCUAACUUCGUGCCAGCAGCCGCGGUAAUACGAAGGGUGCAAGCGUUAAUCGGAAUUACUGGGCGUAAAGCGUGCGUAGGCGGUUUCUUAAGUCUGCUGUGAAAUCCCCGGGCUCAACCUGGGAAUGGCAGUGGAUACUGGGAGGCUAGAGUGUGUCAGAGGGUGGUGGAAUUCCCGGUGUAGCGGUGAAAUGCGUAGAGAUCGGGAGGAACAUCAGUGGCGAAGGCGGCCACCUGGGACAACACUGACGCUGAGGCACGAAAGCGUGGGGAGCAAACAGGAUUAGAUACCCUGGUAGUCCACGCCCUAAAGCGAUGUAACAUAGUUGUUGGGGGAUUCAUUUCCUUAGUAACGUAGCUAACGCGUGAAGUUGACCGCCUGGGGAGUACGGUCGCAAGAUUAAAAGCUCAAAUGAA